CCCUGAUCUGGAGUCUAUACACAGCUCCUAGGUGGCGCAAGCUGUUUAAGUGCUAGGUGAGGGUGAAAAGGGAAGUGCACAAGUUACUAUAAAUACAGUCAAACAGCUCAAGAUCCAGGAAGAAAAACGUAUUCAAUGGCCGCAUACGCAACAACAAAAAUAUUCUACAUUUCAAUUGAGUUUUGGCUCAUUUUAGGUGUUGAAUGCAUCUUCGGUAAGCCAAAUCAUGUAUUAACUAUUCAGCCUGGAGGAUCUGUCACCAUCCCAUGUCAUUAUGAGGAGAAAUACACACUGCAGAAGAAAUACUGGUAUUUAGAAACUGAUAAGUUUAGUAUAUACACAAACACAAUGGAGGAGAAUCUGUCAGUAAUUGAUCAUCCUGAUCAGAGUCUCUUUACUGUGACUAUGAGAAACCUGCAGAUCAAACAGACUGGACAUUAUUAUUGUGUUGUGGGUACUGAAGGACAAUCGGCUGUUGCAUAUAAGUUUUAUCUCAAGGUUCAGUCUGCUCCUGAUGUGUCUGUGGUGAGCAGCAGUGUAUGUGGACAUGAAGGUGGUGAUAUCACUGUUCAGUGUCUCUACAGUUCUGAAUAUAAGAAUAAACUCAAACAGUGGUGCAGAUAUAAAGAUCAGCGCUGUUACACAGUGGGGAGGACUGACACAUCCCAGAAUCCAUCAGUCCAGAUCAUUGAUGAUGGGAGAAGAUCCUUCACUGUGCUGAUGACUGGACUGAGACUGACUGAUUCUGGCUGGUACUGCUGUUCUGUAGGAGAGGCACUGAAUCCUGUUCAUCUCUCUGUAACUGGGGCAAAGCCAGACAAAGAAAAAGACACGUCAGUAUUCGAACAUUUCUCACUGACAUUUCAUUUUCCUAGAAUCUUCCUCUGCGUUUUUUCAUCAUGCUGUAGUUCCUCAAUUUAUUUAGCCUUUUACUCUAACAAUCAUUUCCUCAUUGCCUUCGUGAUCUUUCUUUUCUGUUUCCUUUUUUAUCUUUGCAGAAGUGAAACAGGAUGUCACGAGAAUAAUAAUAACCCAACUGAAGCCAUUGACAAACUGCAAAGGCACUACAUCUGUAUUGUUUAAAAAGUAAAACUUAAAGGGGUCAUCGAAUGCUAAGUUCACUUUUACAUGUUGUUUGAACAUUAAUGUGUGUUGUCAGUGUAUGUACAAAUCUACCCUAUAAUGAUAAAAAUCCAUGCAGUGGUUUUUAAUUAAUCUGUAAAAAUAAUAUCCCCUUUUUCAAAUCGAGCCGUUCUCAGAUGCCUGUCGGUGUGGCGUCACACCAUCAGAGGCCGCUCCCACAACAGUUGAUUGACAUGAGCGUCUUACCUUAGAUCAGCUGUAACAGUCCGCCCUCUUUGUUUCAAUGCCGGAGCAGGGAUGUAAGUUAGACAAGAAUAUCUCUGAUUGAGCGAUUGAGGUGUUGUGUUGCUGGAUGUAAUAAUGAACAUAGUGGUCGUCAUUUACUCCCGACAUCUGAGCUGCUGAAGAUGGAGUAGAUUACGUUUGUUUGUGAAGGGAAUGCGCCUCCUGAUCUCCAUAUAUCCGUCUAUGUUCGCUCAAAUCAUUCGUGAUCCAGCUUCACUUACAGAAGAAAGAGAAGAGAGGGGCGGGGCGAGUAGAGCUCAUUAACAUUUAAAGCAGCCUCGACCAGAAUGAGAUGAUUUUUGCAGAGCUGAUUUUGACAAGGUAAAAAGGGUGUUGUUUUACACAACCAU